AGAAAAAGGAAACUGGGUGGCACAAAGCAGUGAAGCAUGUGUUCGUGCAAUUGUUUCUUACCAAUUUCACAUUACAUGCAUGUCUUACCUAUUCUAAACUUGUCCCAACAUGUCAACAAUACUAUAAAUAUAGUCCAUUCAAUGUCAACUCAUCUCUCCCUCUAAUAUCAACUCCUCCCCCCUCUAUAAUAACCACUUCUUCAACAAUACUUACUACAUUUGAUUCCUAAUUCAAUGAGGAGCUUUAUUUGGUUCCUAAUUCAUCGACUGUAAUUUCUUUGAUUAAUGAGAUUUGGAAACGCAGAUUUGAAAACGCAGAUUUGAACGCAGAUUUGAACGCAGAUUUGGAAACAUAGAUUUGGAAACGCAGAUUGGUUGAGAGCUUUUUGAGUCUGCUUGUGUUUAGGAUUCUUGUGAUAGCUGUCCCUUGGCCAUUGUUGCUUCAAUAAUUGCAAGCCAAGCAAUUAUUUCAGCAUCAUUCUCCAUGGUAUCGAUCGCAAGCCUUAAGUAUGGGUUGUUUCCCAAAGCUGAGAUGAACGACUACACUCUCCUUAGCAUUUCAAACAUUGGGAGUAGUAUACGGUGACAUCGGGACAUCUCCUACUUCCAACGCAAUGGAAAGACAGGAUGGAUAUCAUUAGGUGGAGUGUUUCUGUGCGUAUCUGGUUGUGAGGCUAUGUUUGCAGAUUUGGACCACUUCAAUGUUGGAGCCAUUCGAAUUAGCUUUUUAUUUAUCGCACUUCCCGCAAUAUUGGCAGCAUAUAGUGGACAAGUAGCAUAUCUACGAACAUACCCAGCUGAUGUGUCAAAGGUUUUCUACGCACCAUACUAGUGUUUGAAAGAGCUUGUACGGUCCUUACGGAUUGGCAAAUGGCCCAAACAGCACCGAAGAAAAGCAUCAACGGGCAACAACAACCAGCGGUAGCAAAGUGGGUAAGGCUGAGUUUGGGUCGCUAUAAAUGCAAUAUUGACGCCUCCUUCUUCUCCUCAGGCCUUAAUAGAGUUGGCAUAGGCACAUGUAUCAGAGAUGAUCAAGGCAGAUUUGUCGUCGCCAAAACAGAGUGGUUUUCACCUGUUUGUGACGUGGAGAUGGAUGAAGCUCAAGGACUUCUGCAAGCUUUCAAAUGGGUUCGAGAUUUACAGCUGGAAGAUGUUGAUUUUGAACUUGAUGCGCAAACUGUUACUAAGUUUCAUAGUAAAAAGGAUGAUGUAUCUGAAUUCGGGGAAGUCAUCAAAGAUUGUCAAUGUUUGCACAACACCUUUUUCAAAAACUCAAAGGUGUAGUUUAUUAGGAGACAAGCCAAUGUGGUAGCUCAUAUUCUAGCAUGGGUAGCCCCAUCUCUAGCUAGUUUCCAUGUUUUCACUGAUACACCUAUUUGUAUUCAUAACAUUAUUAUUAAUGAAAUGCUUUAAGCGCCUUUACGU